UGUGGCAGAUUAGUGCAAUGAAUUUAAGCUUCAUAUAUAAAGAUGUAGCUUUUAUUAGAAA
rnacentral:tRNA from 1 species